rnacentral:rRNA from 1 species
CCUACGGGGGGCAGCAGUGAGGAAUAUUGGUCAAUGGGAGAGAUCCUGAACCAGCCAAGCCGCGUGAGGGUAGACGGCCCUAUGGGUUGUAAACCUCUUUUGUCGGAGAACAAAACCCGGGACGUGUCCCGGACUGCGUGUAUCCGAAGAAAAAGCAUCGGCUAACUCCGUGCCAGCAGCCGCGGUAAUACGGAGGAGGCGAGCGUUAUCCGGCUUUAUUGGGUUUAAAGGGUGCGUAGGCGGUCCGUUAAGUCAGCGGUAAAAUUGCGGGGGUCAACCUAGUCGAGCCGUUGAAACUGGCAGACUUGAGUUGGCGAGAGGUACGCGGAAUGCGCGGUGUAGCGGUGAAAUGCAUAGAGAUCGCGAAGAACUCCGAUUGCGAAGGCAGCGUGCCGGCGCCAGACUGACGCUGAGGCACGAAAGCGUGGGGAUCGAACAGGAUCAGAUACCCGUGUAGUC